rnacentral:rRNA from 1 species
AUGAGAGUCGUGUUCGAAGGCAAGCAAUAUCACUGGAAUUUGAGAGGAAAUAGUUCAAUCUUCGCUUGUCGUAAUUCGUAUGGAGGAGAUGCCGCUUGCGGCCUAUUGGUGUUAACCUUUCUAUACCAAGGGGCAUCAUCUCAGCGCUCCAUGGCCUCACUACUAAAGCGAUUCAGCGAUAUAGCACAAUCGCCAAAAGGGUGCCGCUACAACCCAGAGAGAUCCGGCUCCGGUAUUGUCUCUGCUAUUAUGGAACCAACCGCUGCACGUUUACGCAUGGUCGGGCCUCUCAUCCACACCAACGCGCGUGAGAUCCUAGAGGUUACACUACCGAACCUCAGUUGGAGCAAUAGGAGGCCAUUCCAAGCAGCCAUACUGUCAUGUGGUCUAUGUCGCAGGUGGAUCGGUAGUGGCACCGUCUAUAUGUUCAAAGGUGAGAUGGGAUUUUGUAAACAAGAGUGUUUCUCCGACUAUAUCGUGGAGCAAUUGGAAAAAGAGACAUAG